CCGGGAGACACACUUCAAAGCUAGUAGAAUUCCUGAUCCAUGGGAUGAAGCCGAAAGAGCAACAAUGACCCAACAUCAGUCACUCAAAUGAUUCUGCCAACAGAGACAAUAAACCUAAACCACAACUUCGUUAUUUGUGGAACUGCGGAGACUGGUGUCAUCAACAAAUAUCUGAGAGAGAAUGACGGUGAUUCCUACGAUGUCCUUAUUUCAACUUCACCAUUUGGCUAGUCAAAUCAGGGCCAUGGACAGUGACAGCUAAUCAUCCCCAACUUCCUCAAUGAUGAUGCUGAUUGCAGCUGCAGGUCCAGAUGUGCCGCUUACACAGCUCACCAUAGCUAUUGAUCUUCAAUCCUUUCUAGUUCAUUCUGAUUGGUGAGAAGAAAUCAGAAGCAAUUUGCAUCCUGUGGACGGAGUAGCAGCAUAUGUGUCCUCCGUGGAGCACUCCCACUCCAGGCCAGACUUUGUUGACCUGUCUGCUCUCUAGCACAUGACAUCUGCCAGAAGCUUAGUCAUUCGGUAACAGGCCAUCUUGCUGAUCUAUGACAUCGAUGGUGUGUAACUAACUGACUUAGCUGAGGAGAAAAUAGCAAGGCUGGAAAUGUCUUCUAGAUCUGAGCCAGAAUGUGAAAGAAAUGUCAAAGGCUUGUCACACUGGUGCAGUCUCUCAGAGCCCACGAAUUCGGUCAUGAGGAAGUCAUGGUACCUGGAACUGACUGAGUGGGCCAUUCCUCAUCCAACUCUUUUGAGUAAUACAGAACUGCUGGUCAAUUCACUUCGGAUUGGCACUGAAUCUCAGUGACACAGGUUUGAAGAGUUACUGGACAUAG